rnacentral:rRNA from 1 species
UGGGGAAUAUUGGACAAUGGGCGAAAGCCUGAUCCAGCCAUGCCGCGUGAGUGAUGAAGGCCUUAGGGUUGUAAAGCUCUUUUGUCAGGGAAGAUAAUGACGGUACCUGAAGAAUAAGCACCGGCUAACUUCGUGCCAGCAGCCGCGGUAAUACGAAGGGUGCUAGCGUUGUUCGGAAUCACUGGGCGUAAAGCGCGCGUAGGCGGCGAUGCAAGUCAGAGGUGAAAGCCUGGAGCUCAACUCCAGAAUUGCCUUUGAAACUGCAUUGCUAGAGUGUCGGAGGGGAUAGCGGAAUUGCUAAUGUAGAGGUGAAAUUCGUAGAUAUUAGCAGGAACACCGGUGGCGAAGGCGGCUAUCUGGACGACAACUGACGCUGAGGCGCGAAAGCGUGGGGAUCAAACAG